rnacentral:snoRNA from 1 species
UGCCUUGAUGUGUUGCCCUCUCAUUGGUCUAUGUAGUGACGAGGGUGUCAAAUGAGGCAUACACUGACUCUUGUGGCUGCUAUUGAAUUGAGUUUGAAAUGACUCCUUUGCAAGUGUUGCUGCAAGCACACUA